GAUGAAGAACGGAGCGAAAUGCGAUAAGUAAUGUGAAUUGCAGAAUUCAGUGAAUCAUCGAAUCUUUGAACGCACAUUGCGCCCGCCAGUAUUCUGGCGGGCAUGCCUGUCCGAGCGUCAUUUCAACCAUCAAGCCCCGGGCUUGUGUUGGGGACCUGCGUCCGACGCAGGCCCUGAAAACCAGUGGCGGGCUCGCUGUCCACACCGAGCGUAGUAACUAACCUCGCUAUGGAGUGGCGCGGGCGCCUGCCGUAAAACCCCCAAUUUCACAAGGUUGACCUCGGAUCAGGCAGGAAUACCCGCUGAACUUAAGCAUAUCAAUAAGCGGAGGA
rnacentral:misc_RNA from 1 species